rnacentral:rRNA from 1 species
GUAAGGAAUAUUGGACAAUGGGCGAAAGCCUGAUCCAGCCAUGCCGCGUGUGUGAAGAAGGUCUUCGGAUUGUAAAGCACUUUAAGUUGGGAGGAAGGGCAGUAAGUUAAUACCUUGCUGUUUUGACGUUACCGACAGAAUAAGCACCGGCUAACUUCGUGCCAGCAGCCGCGGUAAUACGAAGGGUGCAAGCGUUAAUCGGAAUUACUGGGCGUAAAGCGCGCGUAGGUGGUUUUGUAAGUUGGAGGUGAAAUCCCCGGGCUCAACCUGGGAACUGCCUCCAAAACUGCAUGACUAGAGUACGGUAGAGGGUAGUGGAAUUUCCUGUGUAGCGGUGAAAUGCGUAGAUAUAGGAAGGAACACCAGUGGCGAAGGCGACUACCUGGACUGAUACUGACACUGAGGUGCGAAAGCGUGGGGAGCAAACAGGAUUAGAUACCCUAGUAGUCC